rnacentral:lncRNA from 1 species
AAAAUCAACGAUGAAGGUUUUUGGCAAGUCAAUCGUAACAUAACAGUGAUAGCACCAUAAGUCUGUCUAUAACUGGAGGUAUUAAUCUGAGAGCAUUCAACAAAUUGAGAUAUUGGAGAAAAUGAAAAUCAAUGGAGUGAACUUGCAUGUCUUGAAGAGAAAAGUUAAUCUUUCUUGCACAUUUCUUUCUGUUGAUAAUAGAAUAGGUUAAUUAAUUUUUAUUGAAUGAUGCAAAUUAAAGUUUAGAUUCACUUUGCUUGCCAACCUUUGAUCGACUUGCUCGAUGGAUGUUACUUUGCUUACUCUUUACCUAAUUUUGUAGUUAGGACCUUAAUAAAAAUGUUUGUGGAGCAGGAAAAAAAUGGCCAACUUCUUACUUUCGAAACCUUAAUAGAGGGCAGAAAUGUCAUAUGAGCUAUUUUUUUCUAAUUUUAUUUCUGUCUUUAGUUUUUUUUUCUUUGUCAUAUGACAUUAUUUACGAUAAUCUCAUAGUAAUCAACACAAAGCAUAAUAACUGUUGGCCGAGUCCACGUAAUAAACACAUAGUUUCUAGACCACAUAAUAAACACAUAGUUUCAUAAACCGCUUAUAACUUUCUCAAAACGGCGCACAUAGAUUUUGAAAAAACCGUUUUCUAGAACAAUCGAGUGGAUCUAUAAAUGAGACAACUCGGUUGGAUGUCAAAUUGUUCAGGGUGGUUCUCUAAAUUGCUCAAGAGAUUAGUCUCUAAAAAACUUGAGGCUUGAUGAUGAGGUCUCGAAAGGUGACGAACAAGAGAAAUAUGAUAUAUAUCCGUACAAAAUAUGAUUUAUUGUUAUCAUCGAAUUGAUGUUUUACCAGAUGGUAUAUCUAUUUCUCUAUAAUCGAUUCAUAUGUAUAUAUUUCUCAUUUUAUAUGAUUUUCAUGUUGUUUUGUUUGGUUAUAUAACUGACUUGACAAUUUCAUGUAGGAUCAACAACAGGGGAAUAUGGCUUCAUGCCUGUAUGUGACCUCAAGGCCUCUCACUCUCUCAGUCGUGAAGGUGUUUGAGGAUAAAUUGAGGUCAUGGAGAUCGCUCAUGUCCAAGUCGGAGAGGGUUUUCCCUUUCAAGCAAGAGCAACGAACAUGAUGUGAGCCAUCUCCUUUUCUCGGUUCUCUUUCUUCGCCUUUCGUAUUCUUUGGCGUAAGAAGGUCUCAUGCAUGAUUCACCAUCUUUCAUGUCUUCUCCAUCUCCAACAAGACUAGAUGUCGAUUAGCAGCGUCUCAAUCCUCAAGCUUCAGUUUUGAUUAAAAUGAAGAGUCGAAGACUUUUCUAUGUUGUUCGUCUGUUCCAAUCAUUAAAUUUUCUCCUUAUUUAUUGAUUCAAAAAUAUAACAUCUAAUGAAAAUUGUAGUUGUGAAAUUUUCUGAAAAAUUUCUCCUUGUAAUACUUCAACAAAUUUAUGUCUUCAUAUCUG